rnacentral:misc_RNA from 1 species
AAGCAUCCCGGCAUGCAAUAUAUAAAAGCUGCAUAGCAAUCUCUCUCUAUGUAUUUAAAGAAUGAGAGAGAAAUAAGAACAAUGAAAAUUCUAAAGAAAAACUUUAGAAGAAGGGUGUCUUCACUUAAAAGGAUGAAUCAUAUUCUAAGAGAACAUAUUACAUUAACUAAAAUAUAAUAAAAUACUGAAGCUUUAGAAAUGCCAAUUUU